rnacentral:rRNA from 1 species
GACGAACCGUGCAAACGUUAUUCGGAAUCACUGGGCUUAAAGGGCGCGUAGGCGGGCCGCCAGGUCCGGGGUGAAAGCCUCCAGCUCAACUGGAGAAGUGCCUUGGAUACCGGCGGCCUCGAGGGAGGUAGGGCGUGCGGAACUUCGGGUGGAGCGGUGAAAUGCGUAGAUAUCCGAAGGAACACCGGUGGCGAAAGCGGCGCGCUGGAUCUCUUCUGACGCUGAGGCGCGAAAGCCAGGGAGCAAAGCGGG